AGGAGGAACACCAGUGGCGAAGGCGGUUCUCUGGGCCUUUCCUGGACGCUGAGGAGCGAAAGCGUGGGGAGCGAACAGGCUGAGAUACCCUGGUUAGUCCACGCUGUAAACGGUGGGUACUACGUGUGGGGUCCAUUCCACGGUGUUCCGGUGCCGUAACUAACGCUUUAAGUACCCCGCCUGGGGAGUACGGCCGCGAAGGCUCAAGCUCAAAGGAAUUGACGGGGCCCCGCACAAGCGGCGGAGCAUGCGGAUUAAUUCGAUGCAACGCGUAGAACCUUACCUGGGUUUGACAUGGAUCGGGAGUGCUCAGAGAUGGGUGUGCCUCUUUCGAGGUCGGUUCACAGGUGGUGCAUGGCUGUCGUCAGCUCGUGUCGUGAGAUGUUGGGUUAAGUCCCGCAACGAGCGCAACCCUUGUUCACUGUUGCCAGCACGUUAUGGUGGGGACUCAGUGGAGACCGCCGGGGUCAACUCGGAGGAAGGUGGGGAUGACGUCAAGUCAUCAUGCCCCUUAUGUCCAGGGCUUCACGCAUGCUACAAUGGCUGGUACAGAGAGUGGCGAGCCUGUGAGGGUGAGCGAAUCUCGGAAAGCCGGUCUCAGUUCGGAUUGGGGUCUGCAACUCGACCUCAUGAAGUCGGAGUCGCUAGUAAUCGCAGAUCAGCAACGCUGCGGUGAUACGUUCCCGGGGCUUGUACACACCGCCCGUCAAGUCAUGAAAGUUGGUAACACCCGAAGCCGGUGGCCUAACCGUUGUGGGGGAG
rnacentral:rRNA from 1 species